rnacentral:rRNA from 1 species
GGAGGGUGCAAGCGUUGUUCGGAAUCACUGGGCGUAAAGGGCGUGUAGGCGGUCCGCUAAGUCUGAUGUGAAAGCCCGGGGCUCACCCCCGGAAGGGCAUUGGAAACUGGCGGACUCGAGUCCCGGAGAGGAAGGUGGAAUUCCUGGUGUAGCGGUGAAAUGCGUAGAUAUCAGGAGGAAUACCGGUGGCGAAGGCGGCCUUCUGGACGGUGACUGACGCUGAGACGCGAAAGCGUGGGGAGCAAACAGGAUUAGAUACCCUGGUAGUCCACGCUGUAAACGUUGGGCGCUAGGUGUGGGCGACAUCCACGUUGUCCGUGCCGUAGCUAACGCAUUAAGCGCCCCGCCUGGGGAGUACGGCCGCAAGGCUA